AAAGUACUCCAUCCGUCCAAAAAUACUUGUCGGAGGAAUGGAUGUAUCUGGACGCAAUUUAGUUCUAGAUAAACCCAUUUUCAUCCAUUUCUCCGACAAGUAUUUCCGGACGGAGGGAGUACUCG
rfam:Triticum urartu cultivar G1812 contig369115, whole genome shotgun sequence.